CGGGGGUGACGGAGAAGGCUAGGCGAGCAGCAGAAGUGCUGUUCAAGGUCGUAGGGAGAGUCUCCUGGCAAAUCCGGAGGCUCGUUAAUCCCGAGAGCUGAGUACUAGGGAACUUCGGUUCCCGAAGUCGCUGAUGCCACGCUUCCAGGAAAAGCCUCUAAGCUUCAGGUGGUAAUUGUCCGUACCGUAAACCGACACUGGUGGGUGGGGAGAUAAUCUCCCAAGGCGCUUGAGAGAACUCGGGUUAAGGAACUCUGCAAAUUGAUACCGUAACUUCGGGAGAAGGUAUGCCUGAUUUCGUUAAUGGACUUGCUCCAUGAAGCGAGAACAGGCCGCAGGUAAUCGGUGGCUGCGACUGUUUAUCAAAAACACAGGACUCUGCGAACACGAAAGUGGAUGUAUAGGGUCUGACGCCUGCCCGGUGCCGGAAGGUUAAUUGAUGGGGUCAGCGCAAGCGAAGCUCCUGAUCGAAGCCCCGGUAAACGGCGGCCGUAACAAUAACGGUCCUAAGGUAGCGAAAUUCCUUGUCGGGUAAGUUCCGACCUGCACGAAUGGCGUAACGCUGGCCACACUGUCUCGACCCGAGACUCAGUGAAGUUGAAAUCGCUGUGAAGAUGCGGCGUAGCUGCGGAAAGACGGAAAGACCCCGUGAACCUUUACUACAGCUUUACACUGAACUUUGACUUUGUUUGUGUAGGAUAGGUGGGAGCCUAUGAAGCAGGGGCGCUAGCUCUUGUGGAGGCAACCUUGAAAUACCACCCUGACAAAUUCGGAGUUCUAACCUAGGCCCGUAAUCCGGGUCGGGGACAAUGUAUGGUGGGUAGUUUGACUGGGGCGGUCUCCUCCUAAAGAGUAACGGAGGAGUGCAAAGGUACCCUCAGCGCGGUCGGUCAUCGCGCAUAGAGUGCAAUGGCAUAAGGGUGCUUGACUGUGAGACGUACAUGUCGAACAGGUGCGAAAGCAGGUCAUAGUGAUCCGGUGGUUCUGUAUGGAAGGGCCAUCGCUCAACGGAUAAAAGGUACUCCGGGGAUAACAGGCUUAUUCCUCCCAAGAGUCCACAUCGACGGAGGAGUUUGGCACCUCGAUGUCGGCUCAUCACAUCCUGGGGCUGUAGCAGGUCCCAAGGGUUCGGCUGUUCGCCGAUUAAAGUGGUACGCGAGCUGGGUUCAAAACGUCGUGAGACAGUUUGGUCCCUAUCUUCCGUAGCCGUUGGAGAUUUGAGGGUGAGCUGUCCUUAGUACGAGAGGACCGGGAUGGACGCACCUCUGGUGUUCCGGUUGUCACGCCAGUGGCACUGCCGGGUAGCUAUGUGCGGACGGGAUAACCGCUGAAAGCAUCUAAGCGGGAAGCCCCCCCCAAGACCAGAUCUCCCUGAGAGCUUGACUCUCCUAAAGGGCCCAAGAAGACGACUUGGUUGAUAGGCCGGGUGUGUACAGGUGGUAACACUUUCAGCUAACCGGUACUAAUUGCCCGUGAGGCUUGACCG
rnacentral:rRNA from 1 species